UCAUCUCCGUCAUCAUCAUCAUCAUAACCAUCCUCAUCACCAAUCAUAUAUAUAAUAUACAUACCCGUCCCUCUAGUGAGGAACUCGGUGACAUAUGCAAGAAACUCUGCACGAACAUUACCCGGCCUGGGACUCGGUGAAAUGAUAAAUGACUCUAUGCACGAGCAGAAUAUUAUGAGCAACCAUAUGCAAUUAAAAUCAUUUCUUAUAACUCAAUAGAACAAUCAACGUGAACCAGCAAGGAGUAUUACCAAAGAUUAAUGUUUUAUCAAGAUUAUGAACCUUUAAUA
rnacentral:lncRNA from 1 species